rnacentral:rRNA from 1 species
GGACCCUUUUUUAGACCAAAGUGCACAGGAUGGUCGAAAAAAAUGAACCACAACUCCACAUGAGAUGAACAACAUUUUUUCAUGAAGAACCAUCCAUGCAUAUUAAAAUGAAUUUCUCAACAAAUAAUUAAACGCAUUCCCAACAGCAACAAAUCCAAUAAUAGUGAAGUGCACUCGCUGUGCGCCGAGCUGCAGACACACAACAUGUGAACCUUGUCUCGUAUCCAAGGUAGAUGUCGCCGGAGGAGAGGACUGCACGCGAGCCGUAUUUUGCCCUGCACACUCGUGGCCCAACACAGCACACAUAGAUCAGAUAACAUAGCAAUAGAGACUCAAAAAUAGCAUGUAUUAGGGCUGAACUAAACUGAAUGCAUCUAGCUGCCAAAUCAUGUGCGCACCGCCGACGAGCAUAAUACCAGCAGUCUUAUCUUUUUGUGUGCGUUCUUUAUUUUUUGCAUCACAAAAAGUAGAGUGAACCGCAGUGGACAGAGCAGCGAACCUCUGCAAAAGACAGUGAAGCUUUUUCUUACCAAAGUAGAGUGUUGCUUCAUCCUUGCUUUGCAGUCCACACCGAAGAAAACUUCAGUGCACUGAACAUUUCCAUCCAAAAAGAAGAGGAAAGUGAUAUGAAUGAGAGUAGUGAACAUUAGAAAAAAACACCAAACCACACGCUGAUGGUUUUGCUCCCCGAAACCAGCUCGUCAUCGCGUACUGCAUAGGCCCGUGGGCGGAGCUGCAUGCCGCUGUGGGGGCUGAACCCAUGCUGUGGACUGCGCAUGAGAGUGCCUACGUGCUGCGUGCCCGCACGUAGUUGACUGCAUGCGGCCCCGUAGGAGAGGACGACGAGGAGGACCAGAGAGGUAGCCCCACCACGCCACCACCAUGGGAGAGGACGACGAGGACCAGGGAGGCAGCUCCCAUAGGAAACGAUGCCCCGCCGAACCGCAUGCACUCACCGAACGCACUUCACGCCCUCGGUGGCUCGAACUACACAGCGGCGUUGUCCCCUCUGUGCAGUUCUGAUCGAGCACAGGUGUAGCUUCUUAUCGUCAUUGCGGUCCUCUCUGGCCUCGCCCACAUUUCUGAUUGGAGCUUGUUGAGGUUCAAUCAGCAAAAAGUAUGGACUGCACCAGGGAACUAGGAUGCUGGCAGCAACCCGCAUCUAGGCGUCCUCGACCCUCAUCCUUGCCAGGACAAGUGCCAUGGGGCGGCUGGGUAGUUGCUGGGAUCCUCGCCGGAGGAGGAGCUCGUGUCGUCGCCCUCCUCGCUUGUCGGUUGGCGGAGAACCGAAGCCAUCUCCUGUGGGCGCUCAGGGACCAAGUGGCGGCGCGUGGAAGAACCAAAUCCGCUGUAUCCAGCGUGCAAGGCUCUGUGGUUGACCGGGGCCAGCAACUGGGCGACUGGACGCUGCUCGAUCCAUCUCGAGCUUCUUGGGCCGCCACCGUGAACACCAGCGUCGCCCCUUCUUUUGCCAGAUCCGGGGAAGAGGAUGGGGUCUGGCCAUGUCGAGGAGGAAGUAGUGGCGGGGUUGGGAGGGAGGAGCUCGUCGAGGCAGCCGGCAGGAGGAUUUUGAGGCCAGAGCACAACCGCCCACAGCGAGGGGAGGAAGCCAGGGCCUGCCAGCAACGGGUGGCCACGUCCUGGCGACGCCUAGAUCCGGUGGCGGGGCAUGCAGUGGGGGACCGGCGAGCUCGGAUCCAUCACCGCGGGGACAAGCAGAACUCAUAUCCAUCAGGCACUGGUGGGAGGUGA